GACGUAGGGCGCGAGCGUUGUCCGGAUUUAUUGGGCGUAAAGAGCUCGUAGGCGGCUUGUCGCGUCGUCCGUGAAAACCCACAGCUCAACUGUGGGCUUGCGGUCGAUACGGGCAGGCUAGAGUUCGGUAGGGGAGACUGGAAUUCCUGGUGUAGCGGUGAAAUGCGUAGAUAUCAGGAGGAACACCGGUGGCGAAGGCGGGUCUCUGGGCCGAUACUGACGCUGAGUGCGCGAAAGCCAGGGGAGCAAACGGG
rnacentral:rRNA from 1 species